ACAGCACCAAGUCGGACCUGC
rnacentral:misc_RNA from 1 species